AAUAAAGUAUAAGUCAAUCAAAAUCACACAGUAUAGACUCUAAACCAAAAUAGUAUAUCUGAAAAUCAAAAAGAAAAUAAAGAUAUUAAUAACUACAAAGAAAAUCAAUGUAUUAAUAAAUGAAAAGCAAUUCAAGAUAAUCACUAUAUAUAAACAAUACUAAAGAGAAUAACACAAAUCAAUAUAAGAAAUAUAUAUAUAACCACAAUGACUUACCAACUAUAUGCAAAACCUGAACUUGUAUAUGAGUUGUAAAGCUUGUACGUCUACAAACCCAUGUCAAACAAGUAUGAUAUCAAAUCAAAGAGAAAAAAAAAAUAUGUAAAUAAAUAUGCAAGUUAAAUAUAUACAAAUGAAUAUACAGACAACUAUAUAUACAACUAGGACAAUAUAAUCACAAG
rnacentral:lncRNA from 1 species